CUUAAAUAGAAAAAUAAACACCCCUAUUACUACAAGAAAAUCAGUUUCUAUAUAGUGGCUCUGCCACCUUCUGGAGUCUUUGCAUAUUUUGCAAAGACCCCCAAUGGUGACAUCUCUGCUAGAUGCGCAGUGGCCCUUGGAUGCAGUGCAGGUGAGUUAUACUUACCUGAUGCUGUCCCCUGCUUCAUCUGCCCCGAGACCACUCGAGCCUCCAUAGAUAUUUUGUUGCAAAAUAAUACAUGAUUUCCACAGCUGUCGUGAGUGACCACUGGGGGAAGAGACAAAAUUUGAUGCAGCCUCUCAUUUUGUCAGAUUUUGUCAAGAUGAGGAUAAGACAAAGUAGUCCUUACUUAGUCGUAUGAUAACUUUUGACUGUGCUACAAUUUCAGUAAAAUUCCAACAUCGUUUUAUCAGCAUUUCAUAAAGAUGAAAUCUUUUUGGCGUUGACAGAGACACUGUAAUCCCUUAAGGACCAAACUUCUGGAAUAAAAGAGAAUCAUGACAUGUCACACAUGUCAUGUGUCCUUAAGGGGUUAAAAAGACUUUGUCAUACAUAGGCAGCCACAUGUAUAUAUUGUUAGCCAUUUAAAUGAUUAACCCAUGACUGGACAGGUAUAGUAUAUUCUAAGCCUGCCUGCUUCUUACCCAACAUCCUGUUUGUUGGGUUCCAUAAUGCUUUGUUUUUCAAAGGUAAGACACAAGGGCACACAAACCUUUUGUGUUGCUACUGUUUAGGCUAGAAUGGAACUAAAUGAAAUUGUUUGAAACUUUAAACGGACCUUAAUGUUAUGCAAAAAAAAGCCCUUUUAAUGUAGUUUUAAUAUCCUUAAAAAUAAAAUGUAAUUAAG